rnacentral:rRNA from 1 species
GAUGAACGCUGGCGGUAUGCUUAACACAUGCAAGUCGAACGGACUCUUCGGAGUUAGUGGCGGACGGGUGAGUAACGCGUGAGAAUCUGGCUCUGGGUUCGGGACAACCACUGGAAACGGUGGCUAAUACCGGAUGUGCCGAGAGGUAAAAGAGAAAUUGCCUGAAGAUGAGCUCGCGUCUGAUUAGCUAGUUGGUGAGGUAAAGGCUCACCAAGGCAGCGAUCAGUAGCUGGUCUGAGAGGAUGACCAGCCACACUGGGACUGAGACACGGCCCAGACUCCUACGGGAGGCAGCAGUGGGGAAUUUUCCGCAAUGGGCGAAAGCCUGACGGAGCAAUACCGCGUGAGGGAAGAAGGCUCUUGGGUUGUAAACCUCUUUUCUUAGGGAAGAACAAAAUGACGGUACCUAAGGAAUCAGCAUCGGCUAACUCCGUG